GAGUUUGAUUCUGGCUCAGAACGAACGCUGGCGGCGCGUCUUAAGCAUGCAAGUCGAACGGUAAGGGAGAGCUUGCUCUCCCCUAGAGUGGCGGACCGGUGAGUAACGCGUAGGUGACCUACCCUGAAGAUGGGGAUAGCUAGUAGAAAUAUUAGAUAAUACCGAAUAAGCUCAUUUGCAUAAAGGCAGAUGAGGAAAGGGGCUACGGCUCCGCUUUAGGAUGGGCCUGCGUCCCAUUAGCUAAGUUGGUGAGGUAAAGGCUUACCAAGGCAACGAUGGGUAUCCGGCCUGAGAGGGUGAACGGACACAUUGGGACUGAGAUACGGCCCAAACUCCUACGGGAGGCAGCAGCUAAGAAUCUUCCGCAAUGGACGAAAGUCUGACGGAGCGACGCCGUGUGAAUGAAGAAGGCUGAAAAGUUGUAAAAUUCUUUUGCAGAUGAAGAAUAAGGAUAGGAGGGAAUGCCUAUCUGAUGA
rnacentral:rRNA from 1 species